AACCUACCCUAUACAGGAGGAUAGCCUAGGAACCUGGAUUAACCCUUCAUAGUAUUAUUGGUAUGGCAUCAUUUGAUAGUUAAACUGAGGUGGUAUAGGAUGGGCAUGCGUCUGAUUAGUUAGUUGGCGGGGUAAUGGCCCACCAAGACGAUGAUCAGUAGGGGUUCUGAGAGGAAGAUCCCCCACACUGGCACUGAGAUACGGGCCAGACUCCUACGGGAGGCAGCAGUAGGGAAUAUUGGUCAAUGGAUGCAAGUCUGAACCAGCCAUGCCGCGUGCAGGAAGAAGGCCUUCUGGGUUGUAAACUGCUUUUGCCAGGGGAUAAAAUUUCCAUGCGUGGAAAACUGAAGGUACCUGGUGAAUAAGCCACGGCUAACUACGUG
rnacentral:rRNA from 1 species